rnacentral:rRNA from 1 species
UACGGGAGGGCAGCAGUGGGGAAUAUUGCACAAUGGGCGCAAGCCUGAUGCAGCCAUGCCGCGUGUAUGAAGAAGGCCUUCGGGUUGUAAAGUACUUUCAGUCGUGAGGAAGGUGUUAAGGUUAAUAACCUUAGCAAUUGACGUUAGCGACAGAAGAAGCACCGGCUAACUCCGUGCCAGCAGCCGCGGUAAUACGGAGGGUGCGAGCGUUAAUCGGAAUUACUGGGCGUAAAGGGCACGCAGGCGGUUAAUUAAGUUGGAUGUGAAAUCCCCGGGCUUAACCUGGGAAUGGCAUUCAAGACUGGUUAGCUAGAGUCUUGUAGAGGGGGUAGAAUUCCAUGUGUAGCGGUGAAAUGCGUAGAGAUGUGGAGGAAUACCGGUGGCGAAGGCGGCCCCUGGGACAAGACUGACGCUCAUGUGCGAAAGCGUGGGGAGCAAACAGGAUUAGAUACC